AUUGAACGCUGGCGGAAUGCUUUACACAUGCAAGUCGAACGGCAGCACGGACUUCGGUCUGGUGGCGAGUGGCGAACGGGUGAGUAAUGUAUCGGAACGUGCCCAGUCGUGGGGGAUAACGUAGUGAAAAUUACGCUAAUACCGCAUACGAUCUAUGGAUGAAAGCGGGGGAUCGCAAGACCUCGCGCGAUUGGAGCGGCGGAUAUCAGAUUAGGUAGUUGGUGGGGUAAAGGCCCACCAAGCCAACGAUCUGUAGCUGGUCUGAGAGGACGACCAGCCACACGGGAACUGAGACACGGUCCAGAAUCCGACGGGAGGCAGCAGUGGGGAAUUUUGGACAAUGGGCGAAAGCCUGAUCCAGCCAUUCCGCGUGCAGGAUGAAGGCCCUCGGGUUGUAAACUGCUUUUGUACAGAACGAAAAGGUUUCUACUAAUACUAGGAGCUCAUGACGGUACUGUAAGAAUAAGCACCGGCUAACUACGUGCCAGCCGCCGGCGUAA
rnacentral:rRNA from 1 species